rnacentral:lncRNA from 1 species
AGCCUCCUAUGCCUAAUCAAGCUGGGCAAAAUCCUGGGCCUAACAUGCCUGGACCUGCCAACAACAUGAGGACUCCCAACAAUAUGGGCCCCCCGCCCCCCAACACGGGUCCAAUGCCUCCCCACAACAUGGGUCCAAACUACAGUAAUGUGCAGCAGCCAAACAACUGGAGUGGUGGCCAGCCCAACAACAAUAGCAAUCAGAUGCCUCAUAAUUAUAAUCAGAUGCCGCCGCCACCGCCUAACUACAAUCAGAUGCCCCCCAACAACAUGGGAGGUGUGCCACCAAACAACAUGAGAGGGAUGCCACCAAACAACAUGGGAGGAGUGCCCCCACCACCAAAUAACAUGGGAGGUCCACCGCCUAAUGCAGGAUGGGGGAGUCCUGGGCAAUACCAAGAUAACUACACACCAGGCAGGGACGAUGGAGGCAUCCCCGGUACAAACCGUUACUGAGCUUGAGGCUACGUCACCAUGAGUCUUGUAGGCAUGCUGUAGAUAAGCAAGGAGGCUGCUCGAGAUGGGCUGUAGGUUUUUCAUGUCACCGGUCUGGAAUGAUAUUUUGUUUGACUUAUUGCUGGGUGCGAACCUGGUUGCCUUUUUAUCUGAAUAUGAUUACACUUUCAGGGUCGAAUCUGAUUGGAUUAAUCGUAUCUUUGCUUUGCUACUUGGUACUGGUCAGGUCAUGUCAUGUCAUGUCAUGUAGUGCACAUAUUUGCAGAAAGCAGAAGACUGUUUAAUGAAACCACUAUGAUAGGGCAAUGCGCUCUUAUUUUUCAUCGAUUAGUCAUCCUCCUAAUCAAUUGAAAAAUCUAAACAAAACCCAAAAAUCAAUUAUAUGUAUAAUUUUUUUCUGUCAGUGCCUGAGCUUGUGCUUGGCUUAGUAACUUAAAUACAGGAAGAAUGGUGAAUACAAUCCAAUUCACUUCAUCGUCAGUUCAUUCAUCCCAUUCAACAAUACAAACAAAACCCACAAAGCAAUUAUACGAAGAAAUUAUUCUCUCUCUCUGUCUCCGUACUUCUGCUUGCAGCUUGCUUUAGUAACUUAAGAACAAGUGAUCACAGCCCAUUUAGGUUAACCCAGGGUAUGACAGCUGGAAGUUCUCCCGAAAAUGGUGUAUCCAAUUCUAACUUUUAAAGACUUUUUUUUGAGUAAAUGACUUUUCUAGAGUUGACAAAUUCUUAAUGACUUUUACAUACUUUAUAAAGUUAAGUGACAAACUUUCAUAUACUUUUGUCAUAGAGUUUUAUAGACUUUUAAAUACUUAUUUUUAUAUUUAUUUUACAAAUAGCAUUUAUCUUUUAUGUUGAUUGAAUUAGUCGGCAUACAUUGAACAAAAAAUUAGGGAAAAAAACAAUUGGAUACAAUUACAUAAAAGCAAAGAAUAGUUCUCCUUAACAUUAGAAAAUGAUAAAAAUGACAAAGUACAUUUGAAAAUGUACCAUAAGGAAAUAAUUGGCGCUCAACUAGCCAUGAUUCAGUUUACAAAAAAGCUUAGCCGUGAUUCAUUUCAAUGACAGUGAAUAAACCAUAAUACAAAUUCCUUUUGAAAAUUCCAAUGCUCAUUACCGUUGAGUUCCGUUAUUAUCUUGCAUGGCAUUUCUCCACAUGUCAGAAGCUAUACCAACUCUCCAUUCAUUAGCAUUCUCUCGUUGUUGUUCUUGAGUUUCAAAAACUUGUUCCACAUUAUCUCCUUCAUUCCCUGGUAAUGGUGAAGAUGAUGAAGACUCAUUCUCUAGUUCAAUAGGAAAUUCAUCAGAACGACAUUCCCUACGAAGAAAAUUAUGUAGUCCUGCACAAGCUAACACAAGCUCUGCUUGAGUCCUAUAUGGGAAGGGAGGUGCUGACUUGAAAAUUGUGAAUCUUGAUUUAAAUAUCCCAAAUAUCCUCUCAAUUACAUUCCUCAAGGAAGCAUGACGAAGAUUGAACAACUCAGUUGCGUUUUCGGGGUCACGACCUUGACCAGCAAAAUCUUGUAGAUGAUAUCGUACACCUCGAAAUGGAGCUAAAAAUUGACGUCGAUUUGGAAAUCCACAAUCCACAAAGAAAUAUUUACCUAAUCAUAAAAUAUAUAUAAAAUUUGUAUGCAAAGCAUGGUAUAAUGAAUGAUAAUAAUAAAACGAAGAGAUAAGAGUGUACCUUGUGGUACCUUGAGUCCAUUCCUCCUUGAUAAAGCAUCAUUUAAUACUUUUGAAUCAUGAGCUGAACCUUCCCAUCCACUGAGCACGUAUAUGAACUCCAAAUCAAAGUUACAUGCUGCUAAUACAUUUUGUGAUAUCUUUCCAUGACGAUUGCAGUAGUUGCUUACAUCACGUCCCUUCACCAUGGCUGGAAUAUGUGUACCAUCAAUAGCUCCAAUGCAAUCCUGAAAUGAAUUAAUAAGAAAUUAUAAGUAAAACAUAGUUUUUGUUGGAAUAAUAACAAUAAUACUUAUAAUAAUAAAUUCCAUUACCUUAAAGGAGGGGUAAAAUCGUGUACUUUCUCUUAUCUUAGCUGGCACUGCAGAUCGAGGUUUAGCCAACAUUUCUGGUGCUAGCGUGUUCAAUGCCUUCAAGACUUUGUUGAAGUUUUUGCUAGUAGCAAAAUGUGAUCGAUCAAAUGUCUUUCGGGUAAGACAAUAUCGAGAAUUUUGACCUACAGUGAGUAAAAAUGUAGCAAGCAUUUCUUCAACACAAAUAAAUCUUGUAUUUUGUAGGAGUGUUUUGUCUCUGAUGAUAGUGCAUAAUUUCCGAAACACAUCUGGAUACAUUCUAUAGACUUGUCGAAAUUCUUCAGGAUCUUCAUGUAAUAUUUUAUGUAUAUAAUCAUACCCACUUGUAGUAAUUGGUCGUCGAAUUAAUGGAUGCUCAAUAUGCUCACUACGCAUGAUAACCAUAAGCUCAUGUAACAUUUGGACCACUGCUUCCAUUGCCAUUAGUAAAUGCUUGAUGGUUUCGUAAAAUUCUUCAUCCAUUUCUUCUCCCUCCAUUUCCUCUUCCUCUACUCUAUUAUCUCCAUGCAUGAUCGAUUGAGACAUCAUAUGUGAACCACCUAAAAUAAAAAUUGGAAGCAAUUACAUUAUGUAAUAUAUAAUGUGGUUGCCUCUGUUUAGUAAAGAAUGCACUUGAAAUUGCAUGGGAAACAACAUUUCUAAAAUGGAAUUAAUAUGUAAGGUAUCAUGCAUGCAAUUUAUGACACGAGAAAACCAUUAACUUUAUAGUCAGAUAUUUUUUCUAAAUAUUAUAAUUGGAAUUGAAAAGCACCAACUGCUCAAAGAUAUCAUAUUUGAUGCAUAUGAAACAAACUUUAAAACUUUAAAUAUGUUCCUAAUAGAAAAUUUGACAAAAUUCCACAAAUAUGAAGCCAUAAACAAACUCCAAAAAUUCAGACAAGUUGUGCUUAAGCAUACUCCAAAAUAACCAAAGUCUAUCGUCUCCCACAUAACCUCAUUCAUUCUGACAACUUAUACAUUAUCCAAUCUUUGCGCUCCUGAGGUGACAUUUUCCAGAACAUAUCUUUUUUUGCUUUAGUAUUAAGCAACUCAACAACUUUGUAACGAACCUGACUAUCUAAGUUUGGGAUUUCCAUGAUAGCAUCCCAACAACCACUCUCUUUUUCCUUUUUUUCCAUAAGGCUAUGGAUUCCCCGAAAAUCUGUGGCAAUUGAAUCAAUGCUAAGAGAAACUCUUUCUAGAACAUCGGCUCGAGUGUUGGUCUCAAAAGAGCUAGUGUUCCCCUCAUACUCAGUUCUAUUUCUUUUUGUCUGACCAUUGCUUUCCAAGGGAAGCUCCACAUUCGUGCCUUGAGUGGGAACAUAUGAAUUAGGUUGUUUGGGUGAUAGAUCUUGGAAUGUUGCAGCUUCAACUUCAUUUGGUAUGAAUGCAUGAUUAUCAUCGUCAUAACUCAAGUCAUCUAUUCCCAGACGUCUACUUUCUUCCACUCCUAAUGUUCUUGCAUCCGUAUCAUCUCCCAAUGCAAUUGAGUUUCUUCCAAUGGCAGUUCCAUUCCCAAUUGCAAUUCUCAGAAGUUCAUAGUCAGCAAAAGUGUCUGUCUGAAAGUUGACAUGGGCCGGGUGGGACUAACAAAGGGAAAAAAAAACAAUUAAUGCAUACACAUACAAAAUAAUAAAUUAUCAUAUAAUAUAUUUUCGAAAAUAGAAGCUCACCUUAAUAUAAUCUUUCCACACUUCAUCACUAGCAGUGAACUUCUUUGUGAUUGGAUCCCACCCAAACCCAGAGCUAUGACGCAUAAGCUCAGAAAAAAUAUUAUAUCGUUGCUUAAACCAUUUCAAUCGGCUUAAGUAUUGUGAAUGAUUCCUUUCACAUCCAAGUUUUGCAUUAAGAGCAGGGAGUAUCUUUUUCUCAACUGUUUGCUUACUUAGCAUUCCAUUACUAUCACGCCAUCCACGAUUGGCGGCAUCAACCAUGAGCUGUAGCAACUCAUUGCUCUCUUCCAAUGUCCACAAUUUAUAACCUCCACUAACUUUGCUCUUUCCUUUGUCAUUUCCUCGUUGUGAUUCUUCCAUUGAUAAUUACUAUAUCACACGUACAACUCCUUAUUAAUUGUGUAUAUUUUCAUAAUAGCUUAUUGGUAAACUGCAUCCAAUGCACCUUUUAAAUUUUUAUUUAUCAAAUCUAAUCACAUAGACAAGUAACAUAUUCUUAUCAAAAUAAAUAAAUAUUACUCAGUCAUCAAUAAUAUUUCAUAAACACUCACAAAUCAACAUAAAUGGUUAGAUUACAAAAGAGUCUAUAUUCCAGCAAUUCUCCUAACCUAAUAUGUGGGAUGUAAAUAUUAUAUGAAAAAAUUAUCCACCUAACGAAUUAUGGGUAAAAAAACAGUACCUAAAGAAUAAAUUAAUGGGUUUAGGGGCAACAAAUUAUAUAAUAAAAUAUUGUAUGCAAACAUAGCAUAUGAGACAAUCAAUAUAAUAAAAUAUUUAUAUGCAAACACAGCUUUUUUUACUAAUAGAAGAAAUAUUCAUCAAUAGAGGGAAAGUAAACGUGUGGAUGAGAAGAGAAGAAAAAUAUUCAAUAUUUUUUUACUAACCUGAAGGAAGUGGAUGACAAUGGGAUACCAAAGUGGAGCCCUAACCAUGAAGAAAAAAGAUCUAUCUGCUUGAUGCUUGAUAUAACAAGGGAAGAAAGAAUUGGAGACGUUUGGAGAUGUUUUGGUUCUAUCUUCUCAACUUCCCAAUAUUUUCAUAAAGUCUGGUGUAAAUUAGCAAGACUUUUGGUAGUAAGAAUUACCUUUAAAAGUAUUGAAAAGUCAUUUAUUUAACAAAGUUUUUAAAAGUCAUUAAUAUUUUGGAUACCUCAAAACUUUUAAAUACUCUUUAAAACUCACAAUUGAAUACAACUAAACUUUUAAAGACUAUUUAAAAGUCACAAUUGAAUACCUAGACUUUUAAAGUCAUUAAAAGUCAUUAAAAGUUAUAAUUGGAUACACCCCCCCUCCUUCUGCUUGCAGCUUGCUUUAGUAACUUAAGAACAAGUGAUCACAGCCCAUUUAGGUUAACCCAGGGUAUGGCAGCUGGAAGUUCUCCCGAAAAUAAGUUUCCAGAAAUGUCCAGGAGUACCAGAGUUUCCUUGCUUAUGUUCCACAUCCAGUUUGGUACUUCGCCAUGUAUUUGGUUUCUUGCCAUAUCCAACCGCUCCAACUUUGUCUGAUUUCUUAGGAAAUAUGGGAACUCUUUUAAAUUGCAUGAACUCAAACCCAGAAUAGUGAACUGUCGAACAGUUGCAUUCAUCAUAUUGGAUUCAGUAACAAAUUCAAAAUUGUUCCAACUCAAUUGGAGUUGGUACAGAUUUUAUUGCUUCUCAAACAUUUGAAAUUCCACUACACCACUCAGGUUAUUUGAAUGUAGAUAAAGGAUCUCAAGAUUGAUGAGAUUGGAAAAUGAGGCUGGAAUUGAACCACUCAAAUGAUUAAAAGAAAAAUCUAGGUAAACUAGUUCGCUAAAGUUACCUAGCUAAGAUGGAAUUGGACUUCCAAAUCUGUUUGUUGAGACGUCUAGAUAAGUGAGCUGUCUAAGAUUACCAAGUGCAGAUGGACCCAAAAGAUUCUGAAAAAUUGCAAUUAGCCACAUCCAACUCUUGCAAUGAAUUAAGCUUUUCAAUUGAUGAAGGUAUUGUUCCCAAAAAACCUAGUAGAAGCAACUCUCAGAGAUAUGAGGGGACUACUUUGAUUAAAUUCAGGAAAAUAUCCAGUGAGAUCUUGAUUGUAUCUCACACCAAGAACUUUAUAGGUAAACAUGUAUUUCUUGUUGGUGAUUCAGGGAUUUUAAGCAUUUUUUGGGUUGUGCGUAUUCUCUCCAAAUCAAUUCAACUUCUUGUCGCGUUUGGUCACUGGAGAAGUUGUAUUCAUAUUUGGCACCUUAGUUGCUUUGUAUUUGUUUUUUUUUUUUAAUAUCUUAUUAAUAAAAUACUAUCGCUCUUUUGUCAAAAAAAUUCAAGAUGUAAUUAAUACUAAGGUUUAAUGAAAUUUUACAUCAUCUGUUAAAUUGGUAAUGUGGCAAGCAAAAAAGCGGUCUCCGCUCUGUAUAGCUUCAACUUGGAUUCAACAUAGAUGAUGCAGCACCACCCAGCCCCUUGCAUUUGGAGCGGUCGUUAUUAAACCAGUGCAAGAUUUUAAUACUCAGUUUAUAUACAGUUCUUACUUGAGCAUUGCCCUUGUAUUUCCAAUGUUCUAAAAUAUUCUUUCUUUGCCCUCUUAAGCUAAAUAACCUUCUAUGAAAGUGAAAGAGCUUUCUGUAUCCAACAUUACAUUGGCGUCCUUAUUGAUGUUAAACUGCAGGAGAAGCAGAACCUUUGUAGCAAAUCUUCUCUCUCUUCAUUCACAAGUCACUAGCAUCUGUUAACUACACAGGACCAAAAGACGAAAGGCAUAAAACAUAACUAAUCUAGAAAUCCCUUCACCAAUAGCCACACACUCAGAAAAUUGAUGGAUAUAUUAAACCCAACAAAUUAAUAUAUCAGUCUCUGAGUUGAUUCAAUUGAACAACUUAUGCUGCAAGGUCAUGCAGUCUUCAGUCUUCUUUCCUCCAAGCAACGUCAACAAGGUAUUGAUAUGUUCAAAUGCUGACCAACUUUUUUUGUAGAGAAUGAAUCUGUCACAUGCCGUCGCGCUUCUAUGCCCAUUCUCUGCGCAAUCUGCUGGUCUUGGAUAAGUUUAGCCAUACCCAAUCACAAAGAAAUCAUGUUUCACCGUUCUUAACUGUCUCUAGAGCCCCCACUGUUGCACAAAAUGACAGGUUUAUAAGCUGCCAUAACCACACAACACAAAUUAUCCAAACCCCUCUGUACGUCGAAGAGAGAUUUCCACAAAUGAAACCAAAGCAAUGACCUUGUGUAUUUUAAAGUCUGCAUUGACCUUCGUCCUCAAGCGAAGAUCUUCUUAUACUGAAUUUUCUUUUUUGAUUUUUAAGGCAGCUGAUAUGCGAUACCAGCGCAUCUUCCAUGUCAAUCAAAGUCCAAGUUCCAAGUUGUUUUCUUGUUUUAAACUUUUCUAAGGAAAUUGGAAGAUAGUCAUUCUUUCCAAGUUGUUUGCCCCACAUGAAGGCAACUACAUAAAAAAAAAAAAAAUCACGUAUCAUUGACAAGCAGCAAUCGUUCACAAAGAAGUCCUUUCUACACAAAUGGCACAAUAUAAAAUUUAAAGGGAUUAAUUAUUGAUAUGGCCCUUGAAAUUCAAUUUGAAUCUCACUUUGCCAUCUAAAACUCAAUUUGUCACACUCUACCCUCUGAAACUCAAUUCUCCGUCUCACUUUGUCCAUAUUCAUUAACUCCAUAAAAAAUAACAUAGCAUUGAGUUGUGAAGAGCAAAAUGUUGAAAUUGAUAACAGUCAAGCCAUGCGUUGAUGCCCUAUUCAUGUUAUAAAAAUCUUUUCUAUUAAUUCAUAUUAGACUAGAUAAAAUAACUUUCAUGUAUUAAGAAAUCAAGGGUCACAAAUUUCAAAUUCCCAAAAAUAAUCAGUGAGAAAUCAUAGCAAAAAACACCAAAAAGAUGCACAAGGCGCAUUGGAUGAAUAUGUUAAAGCCAAGAUAUGGAAUCAGAGUCUCCAAUUCUCUGCAAAUUCUAAUUCAAAGUCUCAAAAGAGAAGUUUUUUCUGCCAUCUUGGGCCAAAACUGGACCCAACAUUUGGAAUAUGAAAGUAAACACCCGAGUUCGAUAUGAUCCAACCCAUUUCAGUUUCGGACUAAAACGGGUCGUCGUCGUCUUUCUCCAGUUCUCUACUUCUCACACAGAAGAGUCUGUAAAAGGAAGAAGAGAAGAGCAAUGAGUGGAGAAGAAUUAGCGGGCACCCCAGCGGCCAAAGCUCCUCCGUCUGCUUUAUUUUGUCGGCGCUGGCUGUAAGUCAUGAAUUUUCAUUUCAAUUUUAAGUCUUCUUCUUCUCCCUUUUUAAAUGGUUGGCUGAUUUUAAAUUCUGGGUAGUUAUUUGCACUGUUGGAAUCAACAAAUGGCGUGAGCUUCAGCGCAAGUCAAUUUUACAACAGCUGCAGCAGCAACAACAGCUCCCUGAAAAUGCCGCAAAUGCCCUUGAGUGAUCUCCAGGUUUAAGGCAAAUUUUCAAAUUUUGUCAUAGAAUUUGGCAAGUAAGCUUGAUCUUUGGCUUCAUUUUGAGUUUGUAAGUGCUGCUCCAGCUGAACUCGUGUUAGACUGAGCUUUGGUAGUUUGGUUGUUAAAUGAUGUGGAAAAUGGUGCAAAAAUUCAUGCCUUUCAAUCUGUUUGAAUAUUCGAAAUACCUAUGUGUGCAAAUUUCUUUGGCUUCAUUUUGAGUUUGAUCAAAUUGCUAAUCUGAGUAUUCCGCGUACAAAUUUGAAUGGUAAUGGGGAUUGUCUAGAUUUCCAUUUUGUAUACAUUUGUGCUUCUUUUGUGACAUUUUCUCUCUAGUUUAUAGUUUGAUUCGGGCAGUAUACAACAUUCUUGAGGAUGACUCAAAUAGCGAGAUUAUUGAUAUUGAGUAAGAAGGUGAGAUUGUUGAUAUUGAGUAAGAAGGUGAGAUUAUUGGUGUGUGUGUGUAUGUGCGCGCACGCAGUGGGGGUUUCUAUUGUGAGUACCGAAGAGCUUUCUCAUCUUAGAAUAUGUAUGUCUAUUGAAGCUGUGGAUUCUAAUCCAAAUCGAGGCGAAUUUGUCAUAUGUGAAUAAUGCUAGGUAAGAGUUCAGGCAGUCUUUAUUUAAGAUGCUUUGGCAUAAGAUGGCUUGGGGUUCCCCAUAGAAAUACAAUAGAAUGCAUGCUUCUAUUUGUUCACUUUGGAUAGUCAUGCAUUGCACUAUUUUAUUUGUUGGUUAUCAGAACAACCUACACUUGAAGAUUGUAAUUAUAUGUUAAUGGACCUUGUAUUUGUGCAGAUGCUACAUUAAACCAUCUUCAAGUAUAUAAACAAGCAUGUUUUUUAAGUUAUUAAUGAAAUUGGAACUUAGUGCCAGUAUGACAAUAGGCGAUAUGUAUGUGAUUUGUAGGGCGGUGAGAGUCAGUAGUUUUCUACUGUUAUGUCAUGGAUUUUGCAGCAUGCUCGCUUUCAACUAUCCUCGGAUGCUUAUGCAUAAUCAAUUGGAGGUUCUAACUUCUAACUUCACAUAAUGUAGCCAAAACCAUGAGGCAAUCACUUCACUGAGUUCUGCAACCCUCACAUAAUGCAGGUGAUAUGUAAUGCUAGUUUUCUUCAAAGUUUUCACUCAGUUUCUAAAUAAACAUGUCAAAAUGAGUUUCAUGAUAACGGAGUUUGUAAAAAUUAGGGGAAUGUCUAUAACUGCUUUGAGAUAGUUCUGUCAAUAGUGAUUGUUUGAGUCUGACAGUCUGUUGGGUACAUAUAGUUCUCUGUUGCGGCUAGAUGGCUGGAUGCAGUUUUUCAUUUGAAAGCCUUGAUGGACUUUUGGAGCUGAAGCUUUCAUGUUUGUUUUUGCCUAGGUACAUUCUUUUGUCGACCUAUAUCAAUAAAGGUCAUUGAUUGAGCAUAAUCAUAUCUGAAAAGAAUAGCAGUACAAAAAUAGGUAUGUGAAAAGAAAAAAGAAAAAUUAGUGUUUAGUAAUUAGCAUGUGCUACAUUACCUAUUUUUGUUUUAGAUAAGGUGGAUGAGUUUUAAAUUUUAUUUUGUUAAAGACCAAUUUGUAAGCCCAUGUGCUAAAAGCAUGAUUAAUAUAAGAGUUACAUUUACAUUUUUGCCAUUUUCUGAUAUUUUGUUUCCACUGUGAUACUAAAAUUAGCGAUCGGCAAGGACUAGAUGAGCAUCGGCAUUGCAACCAUAGCGAUCAACCUAGCGCCGAACCUUCAGGUGGCGCUCUUCAAAGCGACGUUGCAUGGUGAGCGAGAAGCACAUAUAGGAGAUCAUCAUUGUCGCGAGCCGAGUAUUGGCGCCUGUUUCAAAGGAGGUUUUUGUAUUGAAUCUGGGCUCCUUUUGGACUCUUCUCGAUUGCAGUCCUGGUUUUGUUAGCCUUUCACCAUAAUCAGCAUGAAGAUCGGGUGGAACAGCCUAUACUAGUAUGAUUGCUUAGCUCCCCUGUGCUGCUAUUAUGUGUUAAUUGAUUUAGUUUGUCCUUGAAUUGGUGACCUGUGUGUUUCUUCAACAUUUUAAUUUGAUAUUGGUUGAUAGGAAUUUGAUGUGUUUGCAGUCUGUUGUUUGGAUUAUUUGAGGUUUUCGUCAGUGAAAUUUCUGAUCAAGUAUGGAAAUACACAAUUGGGUUUUUAUUGUUUUGUUUAGACAUUUGUAUGAGUGGUUUUAGAUAUUUCCGAUGAAUCUCUAGUUAGUUAUUUAUAGGGAUAUGCGUGUUCCUUCAUUACUAUAUAACCUUGUCGAAAGACCAUAUGAUAUAAAUAGACUAUCAAUAACCAAGCAGAAGCAUGCAGUAAUCACGUGGUUGUGAUAUUAAACAUUAGCCUGUAGAUGUUAUAUCUAGAAUUUAGGUGUCACUAUUGGAUUGCUUCAGAUUAUCUAGCGUGCUUGUGAAGGCCUACACUCCCAGUCAAGCCUGGAGUUGUUAUUUGGGGAAGAAAAUGAAGCUUAUGUAGAACGAAUAGCAGUAAACUAUUAUGCUGUUAUCUGAUUUAGUAUCAGAUGACUCUUUUAAAGCAAACUUGUCUGACACACGUGUGAAUCAAAACCCUGGAUGGAUGUUCAAAUUUCCUUUAUUAUUACAAAAUAUUAGUGCUUAGUUAGUUGUGUGUGACAUAUGUCAAGAUAUUAUAGAGAUGUCAAAAUGAAGUAACAAGAUUGUCCAUGAUGACCUAUAGCUUGUAGACUGAGAAACAUCAGGUCCAAAGAAAUUGGGUGAUCACUGUGUAAAACUUUGUGUUUAACCUGGUAUCUCGAGAGCUGAAAGGAAUUUAGUUUAACUGGAGGAUAAUACAAUCUUCUUAUCUCUGGUUUUUAUUUCUAAUUCCGUGUAGUUGCUUCUGGCGUGCAUUGCCCACCCCACCCCAGUUAACAAAAGAAAAAUAGACAGUUUUGGUCUCUAGAAUUUGAUGAUGAAAAUUUUCCUCUUAGGCAGUCAAUGUUAGCCUUGGAAGUUCGCAUAACUGCUUUUUGAAUGCUGGGUAUUAUAGUAUUUGCCUUUUUAAUACUGAUAUUAUAGUAAUCUUAAUCUGCCAUUCUGUUGUACAUUGUCUACCUGUCUAUUCGUUUGUUUUCAAUUAGUUUUUCGGCAAUCAAGUAUCCAUUUAUACAUGAUUGUCUGCUUUCUUGUUAUUUUUUUGUUUUGGCAGGAGAACCUUUUAUUAAUGGUGAAGCAGUACCAUAUGAUCCCAAGUACCAUGAGGAAUGGAUAAGAAACAAUAGCCGAGCAAACAAGAGAAACAGACGCAAUGACAGACCUCGAAAUUAUGACAGAUCAAGGAACUUUGAUAGGAGGAGGGAAAAUAUGCAGAACCGAGAUUUUCAGAAUAGGGGUCAGCCUCCUAUGCCUAAUCAAGCUGGGCAAAAUCCUGGGCCUAACAUGCCUGGACCUGCCAACAACAUGAGGACUCCCAACAAUAUGGGGCCCCCGCCCCCCAACGCGGGUCCAAUGCCUCCCCACAACAACAUGGGUCCAAACUACAGUAAUGUGCAGCAGCCAAACAACUGGAGUGGUGGGCAGCCCAACAACAAUAGCAAUCAGAUACCUCAUAAUUAUAAUCAGAUGCCGCCACCACCACCUAACUACAAUCAGAUGCCCCCUAACAACAUGGGAGGUGUACCGCCAAACAACAUGAGAGGGGUGCCACCAAAUAACAUGGGAGGAGUGUCCCUACCGCCUAAUGCAGGAUGGGGGGGUCCUGGGCAAUUCCAAGAUAACUAAAUGCC